AAAAACCCUAGACAACUUCUCCUCUCCCGUUCAUCCAUCUGCCACAACCUAACUUCUCCUCUCAAAUCUCUAAUGUCGACGAUGGUUUAAGCACCAUAUUCGCUGUUGCGCAUCAUCCUAACCCACCAUUUCCGCCGCUGUGCAUCGUCCAAUCCCACCAUGGCCGCCGCUACACAUUCUCCAAACCCUAUAUCUGAUACCGUAGCACUCUAGAUAGAUCAAUCGAAUGGAUGAAACGAGGGAGUGCGUGGAAGACGAUUAGUCCUAUUUUGUAAUCUACCAAAUUCUUCGUCAAUCGCUCGAUUCCUCUAAUUACAGGUGGAUCCUAAUACAAAGAGGUUAAAUUUACAAGUUGUAAGUGUUGAAGUUGACAAUAUAGGAGCAGUGAGGUUCGUUUAAUAUACCAUUAUUUUGUCAAUAUUUGGAAUGUCAAUAACCCAUGCACAAAUACGAGCCAAAGUUGAUAAAAAUGACGGGGAGACUAAAGUUGUGAGAUUGUAUGCUUUCAUAUGGGAAGGGGAUGCGGCAGCUAAGUGACAAACGAGCUAAGACUCUCCAUUCAUUUAUAUUGUUGAAGCAUUUUAAUUAAAAAAAGUUACAACGGGUCAUUUCCUAAUUCAAAAAUACAAAAAUGGAAAAAUGGAAAACUAUUUCUCAACGUGUUUAAGAUCAAAACAUGUCAGUGCUUUUAUAUGUAUCCGGAUUAUAUUUGUAGAUUCACUUUGUCACUGGACUUAUGUAAUAUAUUUAACUUUUU
rnacentral:lncRNA from 1 species